rnacentral:lncRNA from 1 species
CAGGAUAGAGCAUUUUUGAUUGAGUUCCAAAUCUGCAAGCUCAGGGUUCUGUUGGUCUGCAAGUAAACUGGGGAAUACAAGGUUUUGACAUCACUAGUCAUCAUUCCACAGACAACCUUACCAUUCUGAAGAAUUCAAGGAUGGAACUACUAUUGUCAGUGUUGGCAAUAUUAGCACAGCACUGUUGUGUAUCUGAUGACAGAGGAAUUUAAGUGCAACAUAAGGGC